rnacentral:rRNA from 1 species
UACGUAGGGUGCGAGCGUUGUCCGGAAUUAUUGGGCGUAAAGAGCUUGUAGGCGGUUUGUCGCGUCUGCCGUGAAAACCCGCGGCUCAACCGUGUGGUCUGCAGUCGAUACGGGCAGGCUAGAGUUCGGUAGGGGAGACUGGAAUUCCUGGUGUAGCGGUGAAAUGCGCAGAUAUCAGGAGGAACACCGGGUGGCGAAGGCGGGUCUCUGGGCCGAUACUGACGCUGAGGAGCGAAAGCGUGGGGGAGCGAACAGG